AGUGAACGCUGGCGGUAGGCCUAACACAUGCAAGUCGAACGGCAGCACAGAGGAGCUUGCUCCUUGGGUGGCGAGUGGCGGACGGGUGAGGAAUACAUCGGAAUCUACUCUGUCGUGGGGGAUAACGUAGGGAAACUUACGCUAAUACCGCAUACGACCUACGGGUGAAAGCAGGGGAUCUUCGGACCUUGCGCGAUUGAAUGAGCCGAUGUCGGAUUAGCUAGUUGGCGGGGUAAAGGCCCACCAAGGCGACGAUCCGUAGCUGGUCUGAGAGGAUGAUCCACCAGACUGGAACUGAGACACGGUCCAGACUCCUACGGGAGGCAGCAGUGGGGAAUAUUGGACAAUGGGCGCAAGCCGGGUCCAGCCAUACCGCGUGGGUGAAGAAGGCCUUCGGGUUGUAAAGCCCUUUUGUUGGGAAAGAAAUCCAUCUGGUUAAUACCCGGGCGGGAUGACGGUACCCAAAGAAUAAGCACCGGCUGACUUCGUGCCAGCAGCCGCCGUAA
rnacentral:rRNA from 1 species